rnacentral:rRNA from 1 species
GCACGGACUUCGGUCUGGUGGCGAGUGGCGAACGGGUGAGUAAUAUAUCGGAACGUAUCCAAUAAUGGGGGAUAACUAAUCGAAAGGUUGGCUAAUACCGCAUACGCCCUACGGGGGAAAGCUAGGGACCUUCGGGCCUGGCGUUAAUGGAGCGGCUGAUAUCUGAUUAGCUAGUAGGUGAGGUAAAAGCUCACCUAGGCGACGAUCAGUAGCUGGUCUGAGAGGACGACCAGCCACACUGGAACUGAGACACGGUCCAGACUCCUACGGGAGGCAGCAGUGGGGAAUUUUGGACAAUGGGCGCAAGCCUGAUCCAGCCAUUCCGCGUGAGUGAAGAAGGCCUUCGGGUUGUAAAGCUCUUUCGCAAGGGAAGAAAACUUAGAUACUAAUAUUAUCUGAGGUUGACGGUACCUUGAUAAGAAGCACCGGCUAACUACGUGCCAGCAGCCGCGGUAAUACGUAGGGUGCGAGCGUUAGUCGGAAUUACUGGGCGUAAAGCGUGCGCAGGCGGUUUUGUAAGUCAGAUGUGAAAUCCCCGAGCUCAACUUGGGAACUGCGUUUGAAACUACAAGACUAGAAUAUGUCAGAGGGGGGUAGAAUUCCACGUGUAGCAGUGAAAUGCGUAGAGAUGUGGAGGAAUACCAAUGGCGAAGGCAGCCCCCUGGGAUAAUAUUGACGCUCAUGCACGAAAGCGUGGGGAGCAAACAGGAUUAGAUACCCUGGU